AGAGGACAGAAUUACUUUAUCGUCGACUACUUUAUCCAGUUCGGCGUAAACCUUCAAUUUCAAUGGUAGGUUUUCAGGUACGCAUUCUUGAAUUAGCUUAGCUCCCUUUACAGUUUCGGCCAAAUCGGAUGAUCCUGUUUAUUCAUAUUUCAACGUUUAAUUAAAUAUCAGAUGGAUACGAUAUAUACAUAUACUUAUCGAAGUCUUAUGGAUCAUAAAUGACAAGCGAACCUUUAAUUAACUUAAAUUGUUGGUCCGCGGUAAGCGUGCCUCUCAAAAGACUGCCACUUUCAAGACGUUUCAAUUGCUGUUGGACGUCUUCAAGAGCCUUCGUAAUUUGUUCUUUUACAAUAUCGUAAAUUAUUACUUCGUAUCCUACACUGGCAAAAAGCAUAGCCCAGCUGCGACCAAUUAGACCGCUAAAAUAGAAAUUAAAACAAUUAUUUUCAUCAUAUAAUAAAAUUUGUUAAAACGCUCAAAAAUGUAUUUUAAAAUAGAUCAAGUGAUGUAAUUCUCCAGUGUUUAUCAUUAAACUUUUCCGUAGCUAUCUAUCUUAUCUUAGAUGAACUACUCUUAAGUUAUCGCUAAUAAAAUGAACAAUCAAAUAAAAAUUUUGGCUUGCAUGUAAAUGUAAUUUCACAAACAUACUUUUCAGUGAAUAAUAUCUAAUAGAAACCGACCACAGUAGUGGUCAACAAAUGAUAAAUAAGAUGAAUAAGCUUUAUUAAGAACGAUAUAUUAUAAUAUCAUAACGGCAGUACUAAUUAUCGAAGAACAUCAUCUAUUAAUUAAUCCGAUACAUUGUACAUUCACUAUUACAAUUAUGCAUAAAGAAACUUUCAUCGAGAUAGAUGGAUAGAUAAACUUGAGGCUCGACCACGAUUAUACGUACGUACUCGUACGUGCUUGCACUAGCUGUACAUACUCAUACAUACGUAUAUACUUAAACUACUUAAAACAGAUAUGUAUCGAUUAUCGAACAAGUAAUAAAGGAAA